UUGAGUUUGAUCCUGGCUCAGGACUAACGCUGGCGGCGUGCUUCAUACAUGCAAGUCGAACGAUGAGGCCCCUUCGGGGGUACAUCAGUGGCGGACGGGUGAGUAACGCGUAGAUAAUCUGCCCUUAGCUGGGGGAUAACACCGGGAAACCGGUGCUAAUACCGCAUAAGUGCCAGGCUGAAAUGCCUGUCAUUAAAGUUCCGGCGGCUAAGGAUGAGUCUGCGUCGGAUUAGCUAGUUGGUAGGGUAAAGGCCUACCAAGGCGAUGAUCCGUAGCUGGUCUGAGAGGAUGGCCAGCCACAAUGGGACUGAGACACGGCCCAUACUCCUACGGGAGGCAGCAGUAGGGAAUUUUGCGCAAUGGGCGAAAGCCUGACGCAGCAACGCCGCGUGGAGGAAGAAGUCCCUCGGGAUGUAAACUCCUGUCAGCAGGGAAGACACACGACGGUACCUGCAGAGGAAGCAUCGGCUAACUACGUGCCAGCAGCCGCGGUAAGACGUAGGAUGCAAGCGUUGUCCGGAAUUAUUGGGCGUAAAGCGUUCGUAGGCGGUGGCUUAAGUCUGAUGUUAAAUACUGGAGCUUAACUCCAGCACGGCAUUGGAAACUGGGUCGCUAGAGUGCAGUAGAGGCAAUGGGAAUUCCCGGUGUAGCGGUGAAAU
rnacentral:rRNA from 1 species